rnacentral:piRNA from 1 species
UGAAAUGGUAGACAAAGACACAGAUCUCC